CGGCCUUCGAAACAAACAGGCCCACCACCCCCUCGUCGUGGUUUCUCGACGCGCGUGCUUUCUCAGCUCUCGCUGUUUCACCCGCAGCACCUUCGUCGCCGGCCGCCUCCCCGUGACCCGGAUUCCGGAGCCGCGAGGCGUUGCAGCGGCGAGCCUACUACCUCUCUGCCUGGUUGAAGCGGAGUUGUUCAUUGGCCUUCUUCAAGCUCCAGGCAGCGCCCUUUUCGCGAAAUCGCAGCCGGUGUGUGGGGGUCUCGAUCUCACGGGACGCGCGCCGUUGCGGCCAACCGCCUCGGGAGCCCGCCGUGCCCCGCCGCCUCGUCUUCGUGGACAAGCAGGAGCAGUUGCUGCCCCCGGUGCCUCCGCCCUCAACUUCCAAACCCUAGGGACGGCAAAGGCUCGAACCCUGGGCGCUUUGACAGUGACCGUGCGAGGUGGUCGGCGUUGCGACCCUCGAGUUGCGGCUGACUGUUGCUUUUUUUUUUCCUUCUUCCUGGACUGAAUGGAGCAAGGGGAGAACCAAUCAGCUGGUAGUUUUGUUGUUUCAUCAUCGGAUAAUAAUGAGUUGGAAGAUUUGCCUGUUAAGGAAAGAUGCUUUGAGCAGAGAGAAGCUCUUCCAGGGGAGCCUCGCUGUGUUGUGUGUGGCCGAUAUGGUGAAUAUAUAUGUGAUCAGACUGAUGAUGACAUCUGCAGUGUGGAAUGCAAGACAAUUCUUCUUGCUCGGAUCGCUGCUAAAACAAAGCCAGCAGUAAAAGCUGCAAAGCGUGUGAACCUUCCUUUGGGCGAUGAGAGCUUCUGUAUUAAGGACAUCAAUUUUCCAAAUAUACCUACUUUAGCUGACAGCCGGAUUAGUUCACUGAGGACUAAACUUGACAUUUGUGUCAAGGGUGAUGCUGUUCCUGAUCCAAUCAUGUGUUUCUCUGCCUGUGGUCUUCCUGAGAAGCUUGUGCACAAUCUUGAGACUGCGGGAUAUUGUAUGCCUACUCCAGUGCAGAUGCAAGUUAUCCCUGCAUCAAUGAGUAAUAGAAGCCUACUUGUUUCUGCUGAUACUGGUUCAGGGAAAACUGCAUCUUUUCUGAUUCCCAUAAUUGCUCAUUGUUCACAAGUAAGAUCACAAGAAUCCACAAGCAAUCAAGGACCGUUGGCUAUAGUUCUUGCUCCAACUAGAGAGCUAUGCCUGCAGGUAGAAGAGCAAGCAAAAGUGCUUGGUAAAGGUUUGCCUUUCAAAACUGCUCUAGUUGUCGGUGGAGAUCCAUUGCCUCAGCAAAUUUACAGAAUUGAAAAUGGUAUUGAGUUAAUUGUUGGCACCCCUGGGAGGCUAAUUGAUCUUCUCAUGAAACACAAUGUUGACCUUACCUAUGUUUCUGUAUUCGUUUUGGAUGAGGUGGACUGCUUGUUGGAGAGGGGAUUCAGGGAUCAGGCCAUGCAGAUUUUUCAGUCACUUUCACAACCACAGGUUAUGAUGUUUUCAGCAACAUUACAUUCGGAAGUUGAGAAGAUGUCUAACUCACUGGCUAAGAAUGUGAUAAGUAUCUCUUGUGGGAAUCCAAACAGACCAACCAAAUCAGUCAAACAAGUGGUCAUUUGGGUGGAAUCUAAGAAGAAGAAGCAGAAGAUAUUUGAGAUAAUGAAAAGCAAGCAACAUUUUAAACCUCCUGCUGUUGUGUUUGUGAGUUCCAGAGUCGGAGCUGAUCUGUUGUCUGAAGCAAUUACUGUUGCUACUGGAUUAGAGGUUGUUUCUAUCCAUGGCGAGAAGACGAUGAAGGAGAGAAGAGAGAAUUUGAGAAGGUUUUUGACAGGAGAAGUAUCUGUCGUUGUUUCUACUGGUGUCCUGGGGCGUGGAAUGGAUCUCCUGAAAGUACGUCAAGUGAUAUUGUUUGACAUACCAAAUUCCAUCGAUGAAUAUAUUCACCAAGUUGGAAGGGCAUCCCGGAUGGGUGAGGAGGGUAUGGCUGUUGUGUUUGUGAAUGAGGAGGAUAGAAGGAUUUUCAAAGAGCUUGUUCAGGUUCUGAAGACUGCAGGAGCACCGAUACCCCGGGAACUUGCAAAUUCAAGAUAUACAGCUGGUGUUUAUGUUGGUAGCGAGAGGAAGAGAAAAUUGAGUUCUAGAUCUAUCUACCUAAAGGAUAAGUUGGUUAUCUUUAGAGUUCAUGCUAUUCCUGAAUUUGAAGCAUGCGCAGACCCAACAGGGGCAAACUGUCCAAGAUUAUUUCUCAAUGCAUGAUGUCUGGGAUCAAUUCAUUCAAGAAACAUAAACAAGAUACAUUAUAAAAUUCAAUAAAAUUGCACAUACUAACUCCGAUCAGAUUGCCAGUUUGGAUUAUAUAAGUGAUCGAUGAAUACCAUACCAUCUUCUUAAAUUUUGAAAGAUGAGUUCACCUAAACCAAGCUAGUCUACAUGUCUCUUUAUGUAAUUUCUGUCUCUCGAAGAUCAUGUUCUUCUGUUUUGUUCUAGCACAAUGACAGAAUGAGUUAUUUGAUACUACAUCCACAUUGUUAAGAUAUUACCUUAGCGAAUGUUGUGGUGAGAAAGAUGAUUGCAAGGAGAUAACAAUGGUGGUAAUGGGAGAAGAAAUUUUAAGGGGAACCAGCUAGUGCCCCGAUGAAUGAACUGAAGUUAUCAAACAUAACUUCAUAUGAAACAUGUGAUUGAGAUGAGAAAAACAUAAGUAGUGGGAACAAUUUUCUUU